CCGACUGCUAUUUGGGUGAGAAUAAGCCAUGCGAGUUGAAUGGGAGGCCAUCCCAUGGCAAACUGCUCAGUAACACAUGAUCAACUUACCCUAUAGAGAAGAAUAACCUCGGGAAACUGAGGAUAAUGCUUCAUAGUUGAAACGGCUUGGAAAAGUUUUUCAAUCAAAGGGAUAAAACAAAUGGGUUUUAUUCGCUAUAGGAUAGGAUCGUGGACGAUUAUGGUUGUUGGUGAGAUAACGGCUCACCAAGCCGAUAAUCGAUAGGGGCCGUGAGAGCGGGAGCCCCGAGAUGGGUACUGAGACAACGACCCAGGCCUUACGAGGCGCAGCAGGCGCGGAACCUCAUCAAUACACGAAAGUGUGAAUGGGUUACCCAAAGUGUUCAAUUUUGAACUGUGGUAGGUGAGUAAUGUCCCCUACUAGAAAGGAGAGGGCAAGGCUGGUGCCAGCCGCCGCGGUAAAACCAGCUCUUCAAGUGGUCGGGAUAAUUAUUGGGCUUAAAGUGUCCGUAGCCGGUUUAGUAAGUUCCUGGUAAAAUCGGGUAGCUUAACUAUCUGUAUGCUAGGAAUACUGCUAUACUAGAGGGCGGGAGAAGUCUGAGGUACUACAGGGGUAGGGGUGAAAUCUUAUAAUCCUUGUAGGACCACCAGUGGCGAAGGCGUCAGACUGGAACGCGCCUGACGGUGAGGGACGAAAGCCAGGGGAGCGAACCGGAUUAGAUACCCGGGUAGUCCUGGCCGUAAACGAUGCAUACUAGGUGAUGAUACGGCCAUGAGCCGUAUCAGUGCCGUAGGGAAACCGUUAAGUGUGCCGCCUGGGAAGUACGGUCGCAAGGCUAAAACUUAA
rnacentral:rRNA from 1 species